GAUGUGGUACCUUUGGGCGAUACCUCUAGCAGCCUCGACACCGACCUUGGUACCAUUCGAUAACAAGACCAGAGACUUUAACAUAAGGGUUGUCUUGCUAGUUUCUGUUAUCACUGCCAUUAUUUGUGUCGGUUUCAACACUCGCCUCAGUUUUCUAUGAGCAACUGCUAUUUUGAUUUUUUCCAUUCGCGUUCUGCAGGUGCUACUGGUUUGCUCCCGUCGCGGCUUUGAAUCAAAGUAACUUGAUUGUUUUUGCUGCUGAGUUAGCAGCUUUGGAUGUUGCAGCUUUGGAUCAAAGUAACUUGAUUGAAUUGAAUGGUUUUAGGAUUUUCUUAUUGUGACUUUGUAAAUCCAUAUUUGUAAUGAGUGUGAUUAUGAAUUGUAAUUGUGGAAAUUAACAAGGAUGCAUGUUGUAAUGAAAUGAAAAUGGGGUUAUCAUUUGAG
rnacentral:lncRNA from 1 species